UACGGGGGGGGCAAGCGUUGUUCGGAAUUACUGGGCGUAAAGGGCUCGUAGGCGGCCAACUAAGUCAGACGUGAAAUCCCUCGGCUUAACCGGGGAACUGCGUCUGAUACUGGAUGGCUUGAGUGUGGGAGAGGGAUGCGGAAUUCCAGGUGUAGCGGUGAAAUGCGUAGAUAUCAGGAGGAACACCGGUGGCGAAGGCGGGUCUCUGGGCAGUAACUGACGCUGAGGAGCGAAAGCGUGGGGAGCGAACAGG
rnacentral:rRNA from 1 species